CUCGUAAGGAACUGUCUGCAAUGAAACUGCUGUGUUUAGCUUUCCUUUUAUUCCUUGCCCAGGGUUCCGUUGCCCAGGGCACAGGGGGAAAUCGGCGUUGGAAUAAUGAUUGGAACAACGACUGGAAUAACGGGAAUAACGACUGGAAUAACGAUUGGAACGAUGGAUGGCGGGGGGAAUGGCAGAGACCUCCAUUGAGAGGCGGAUAAGUGAGAAUCAUCUCCCAAGCCUAAAAACUGUGAUUGGUGUGAUUACAAAACGGCUGAAGCACCCAAUUUUUUUUUCUUCAAAACCAUGGGCAUACGGAAUAAAACUACUGUUAAGUUUAAUAAAGAUUAAUGAACAUUA